AUGGCACUCCGGGUCACCAGGAACACAAAACUAAGGCGCAGGUCAAUAUGGCAGGCGCAAAUUGUGUGCCCAUGGCGGCUGCUGCAGCCUCCAAGCCCAGGCUGAGGCCAAGAACAGCUCUUAGAGACAUUGGCAACAAAGUCAGUGAACAGCUACUGGUCAAAAUGCCUCUGAAAAAGAAAUUAAAAACUUUAAGCUCCUGGAAAAGGUAUUGCUAAAAACCUCUGGAAAAGCUGCCAGUGUCCGUGUCAGUGCCAGUGCCAGUGCCCGAGCCCGAGCCUGAGUCAGAACCUGAGCCUGUUCAAGAAGAAAAGCUUUCACCUGAGCCUGUUCUGGCUGAUACUUGAUACUCCCUCUCCAAGCCCAAUGGAAACAUCUGGAUGUGGCCCUGCAGAAAAGUAUCUGUGUCAGGCUUUCUCGGAUGUAAUUCUUACUGGGAGUGAUGUGGAUGCAGAAGAUGGGCAUAUCCAAACCUCUGUAGUGAACAUGUGAAAGUUUUUUAUACUUAUUUGAGAUGGCUUAAGGAAGAGCAAGCAAUCAGAUCAAAAUACCUACUGGGCCAGGAAGUCACUGGAAACAUGUGAGUCAUCCUAAUUGAUGGUUAGUACAGGUUCAAAUGAGAUUCGGGUUGCUGCAGGAGACCAUGUACAAGACUGUUUCUGUUAUCGAUCGCUUCAUGCAGAAUAAUCGUGUGCCCAAGAAGAUGCUGCAGCUGGUUGGUAUCACUGCCAUGUUGUUGCAAGCAAAUGUGAAGAAAUGUAUCCUCCAGAAAUUGGUGACUUUGCUUUGGUGACUGACAACACUUACACUAAGCAUCAAAUCAGACAGAUGGAAAUGAAGAUUCUGAAAGCUUUAAACUUUGGUCUGGGUCAGCUUCUACUCCUACACUUCCUUCGGAGAAUGUCUAAGAUUGGAGAGGCUGAUAUUGAGCAACAUAUUUUGGCCAAAUACCUGAUGGAACUGACUAUGCUAGAUGAUGAUAUGGUGCACUUUCCUCCUUCCCAAACUGCAGUAGGAACUUUUUGCUUAGCACAGAAAAUUCUGGAUAAUGGUGAAUGGACCCCAACUCUACAGCAUUACCUGACAUACACUGAAGAACUCCUUCUUCCUGUUAUGCAGCAUCUGGCUAAGAACACAGUCAUGGUAAAUCGUGGGCUUACAAAGCACAGGACCAUCAAGAACAAGUAUGCCAUAUCUAAGCAUGCUAAGAUCAGCACUCUAGCACAGCUGAACUCUGCACUAGUUCACGAGUUAGCCAAGGCUGUGGCAAAGGUGUAACAUGUAAACUUGAGUUGGAGUAUUAUAUCUGCAAAUAAAAUUGGCACCAUGUGCCAUCUGUACAUAAUAAUGUUGCAUUUACUCACUUUUAAUAAAGUCUGUGGUCCUUUUUACUCUUU